rnacentral:rRNA from 2 species
GGGUUGUGAGGUUAAGCGACUAAGCGUACACGGUGGAUGCCCUGGCAGUCAGAGGCGAUGAAGGACGUGCUAAUCUGCGAUAAGCGCCGGUAAGGUGAUAUGAACCGUUAUAACCGGCGAUUUCCGAAUGGGGAAACCCAGUGUGACUCGUCACACUAUCAUUAACUGAAUCCAUAGGUUAAUGAGGCGAACCGGGGGAACUGAAACAUCUAAGUACCCCGAGGAAAAGAAAUCAACCGAGAUUCCCCCAGUAGCGGCGAGCGAACGGGGAGGAGCCCAGAGCCUGAAUCAGCAUGUGUGUUAGUGGAAGCGUCUGGAAAGGCGCGCGAUACAGGGUGACAGCCCCGUACACAAAAGCGCAUGUGCUGUGAGCUCGAUGAGUAGGGCGGGACACGUGGUAUCCUGUCUGAAUAUGGGGGGACCAUCCUCCAAGGCUAAAUACUCCUGACUGACCGAUAGUGAACCAGUACCGUGAGGGAAAGGCGAAAAGAACCCCGGCGAGGGGAGUGAAAAAGAACCUGAAACCGUGUACGUACAAGCAGUGGGAGCACAGGUUUACCUGUGUGACUGCGUACCUUUUGUAUAAUGGGUCAGCGACUUAUAUUCUGUAGCAAGGUUAACCGAAUAGGGGAGCCGGAGGGAAACCGAGUCUUAAUUGGGCGUUAAGUUGCAGGGUAUAGACCCGAAACCCGGUGAUCUAGCCAUGGGCAGGUUGAAGGUUGGGUAACACUAACUGGAGGACCGAACCGACUAAUGUUGAAAAAUUAGCGGAUGACCUGUGGCUGGGGGUGAAAGGCCAAUCAAACCGGGAGAUAGCUGGUUCUCCCCGAAAGCUAUUUAGGUAGCGCCUCGUGAAUUCAUCUCCGGGGGUAGAGCACUGUUUCGGCUAGGGGGCCAUCCCGGCUUACCAACCCGAUGCAAACUGCGAAUACCGGAGAAUGUUAUCACGGGAGACACACGGCGGGUGCUAACGUCCGUCGUGAAGAGGGAAACAACCCAGACCGCCAGCUAAGGUCCCAAAGUCAUGGUUAAGUGGGAAACGAUGUGGGAAGGCCCAGACAGCCAGGAUGUUGGCUUAGAAGCAGCCAUCAUUUAAAGAAAGCGUAAUAGCUCACUGGUCGAGUCGGCCUGCGCGGAAGAUGUAACGGGGCUAAACCAUGCACCGAAGCUGCGGCAGCGACACUGUGUGUUGUUGGGUAGGGGAGCGUUCUGUAAGCCUGCGAAGGUGGCCUGUGAGGGUUGCUGGAGGUAUCAGAAGUGCGAAUGCUGACAUAAGUAACGAUAAAGCGGGUGAAAAGCCCGCUCGCCGGAAGACCAAGGGUUCCUGUCCAACGUUAAUCGGGGCAGGGUGAGUCGACCCCUAAGGCGAGGCCGAAAGGCGUAGUCGAUGGGAAACGGGUUAAUAUUCCCGUACUUGGUGUUACUGCGAAGGGGGGACGGAGAAGGCUAUGUUGGCCGGGCGACGGUUGUCCCGGUUUAAGCGUGUAGGUGUGUGUUCCAGGUAAAUCCGGUUCACUUUAACACUGAGGCGUGACGACGAGGCACUACGGUGCUGAAGCAACAAAUGCCCUGCUUCCAGGAAAAGCCUCUAAGCAUCAGGUAACAUCAAAUCGUACCCCAAACCGACACAGGUGGUCAGGUAGAGAAUACCAAGGCGCUUGAGAGAACUCGGGUGAAGGAACUAGGCAAAAUGGUGCCGUAACUUCGGGAGAAGGCACGCUGACAUGUAGGUGAAGUGAUUUACUCAUGGAGCUGAAGUCAGUCGAAGAUACCAGCUGGCUGCAACUGUUUAUUAAAAACACAGCACUGUGCAAACACGAAAGUGGACGUAUACGGUGUGACGCCUGCCCGGUGCCGGAAGGUUAAUUGAUGGGGUCAGCGCAAGCGAAGCUCCUGAUCGAAGCCCCGGUAAACGGCGGCCGUAACUAUAACGGUCCUAAGGUAGCGAAAUUCCUUGUCGGGUAAGUUCCGACCUGCACGAAUGGCGUAAUGAUGGCCAGGCUGUCUCCACCCGAGACUCAGUGAAAUUGAACUCGCUGUGAAGAUGCAGUGUACCCGCGGCAAGACGGAAAGACCCCGUGAACCUUUACUAUAGCUUGACACUGAACAUUGAGCCUUGAUGUGUAGGAUAGGUGGGAGGCUUUGAAGUGUGGACGCCAGUCUGCAUGGAGCCGACCUUGAAAUACCACCCUUUAAUGUUUGAUGUUCUAACGUGGACCCGUAAUCCGGGUUGCGGACAGUGUCUGGUGGGUAGUUUGACUGGGGCGGUCUCCUCCUAAAGAGUAACGGAGGAGCACGAAGGUUGGCUAAUCCUGGUCGGACAUCAGGAGGUUAGUGCAAUGGCAUAAGCCAGCUUGACUGCGAGCGUGACGGCGCGAGCAGGUGCGAAAGCAGGUCAUAGUGAUCCGGUGGUUCUGAAUGGAAGGGCCAUCGCUCAACGGAUAAAAGGUACUCCGGGGAUAACAGGCUGAUACCGCCCAAGAGUUCAUAUCGACGGCGGUGUUUGGCACCUCGAUGUCGGCUCAUCACAUCCUGGGGCUGAAGUAGGUCCCAAGGGUAUGGCUGUUCGCCAUUUAAAGUGGUACGCGAGCUGGGUUUAGAACGUCGUGAGACAGUUCGGUCCCUAUCUGCCGUGGGCGCUGGAGAACUGAGGGGGGCUGCUCCUAGUACGAGAGGACCGGAGUGGACGCAUCACUGGUGUUCGGGUUGUCAUGCCAAUGGCACUGCCCGGUAGCUAAAUGCGGAAGAGAUAAGUGCUGAAAGCAUCUAAGCACGAAACUUGCCCCGAGAUGAGUUCUCCCUGAGACUUAAAGUCUCCUGAAGGAACGUUGAAGACGACGACGUUGAUAGGCCGGGUGUGUAAGCGCAGCGAUGCGUUGAGCUAACCGGUACUAAUGAACCGUGAGGCUUAACCUUACAACGCCGAAG